UGGGUUCCCCUUUUUGUAGGUGAACCUGCGGAAGGCAGUCAUUGAAUCUAUCAAACCACACUUUACGUGAACCAUCUAUGUUGGCCAUCUGUGUGUGCCUAAGAAACACACAUGGAUUGGAUUAGGGUCUGAGCAAUCGGACCCUAAUGCAGCUGUUGGAUAGCUGCUGCUGCAAAGCACAGCUGUCUGGCAUCGGCCUUGCCAACCCUACCAACACCAAACAUUAAACAAAUCAAUAAUGGAUGCAUGGCUUAGAGCUGUGUGUUCAACAACCAAAGACAACUCUCAACAACGGAUAUCUUGGCUCUCAGAUCGAUGAAGAACGCAGCGAAAUGCGAUACGUAGUGUGAAUUGCAGAAAUACGUGAAUCAUCGAAUCUUUGAACGCAAAUUGCGCUCGAGGCUUCGGCCAAGAGCAUGUCUGCCUCAGCGUCGGGUAAAAACUCGCUCACAGUUACACUGUGUGCGGACCUGACUGUCUCAUCACAAUCACUUGUGAUGGGUCAGUUGAAGUGUGCAGCUGUUGGUACAUGGACCCGCUAAUGGGCCUCUACUGGGUAGGCAAUCUUUGCUACAUGCUUUAGUAGAUGGCUUAGGAUCCUUGUGUGCUGACACAAAGCAGGAAUAUGCAUCCGUGCAUAUCAAAUCACUUUUCCUCGACCUGAGCUCAGGCAAGAUUACCCGCUGAACUUAACAAUUGGGGAACCCAA
rnacentral:rRNA from 1 species